AACGAACGCUGGCGGCAGGCCUAAUACAUGCAAGUCGAACGCUCGUAGCAAUACGAGAGUGGCAGACGGGUGAGUAACACGUGGGAACCUUCCCUAUGGUUCGGAAUAGCUCAGGGAAACUUGAGGUAAUACCGGAUAAGCCCUUACGGGGAAAGAUUAUCGCCAUUGGAUGGGCCCGCGUCGGAUUAGCUAGUUGGUGGGUAACGGCCGUACCAACGGCGACGAUCCGUAGCUGGUCUGAGAGGAUGAUCAGCCACACUGGGACUGAGACACGGCCCAGACUCCUACGGGAGGCAGCAGUAGGGAAUAUUGGACAAUGGGCGCAAAGCCUGAUCCAGCCAUGCCGCGUG
rnacentral:rRNA from 1 species